rnacentral:rRNA from 1 species
GCAAGUCGAGCGGAUGACGGGAGCUUGCUCCUUGAUUCAGCGGCGGACGGGUGAGUAAUGCCUAGGAAUCUGCCUGGUAGUGGGGGACAACGUUUCGAAAGGAACGCUAAUACCGCAUACGUCCUACGGGAGAAAGCAGGGGACCUUCGGGCCUUGCGCUAUCAGAUGAGCCUAGGUCGGAUUAGCUAGUUGGUGGGGUAAUGGCUCACCAAGCCUAUGACACAUAGCGGGUCUGAGAGGAUGAUC